UCCCUGGUGGUCCAGUGACCAAGACGCUGGGCUUCCAAUGCAGGAAGCCCAGGUUUGAUUCCUGGUCAGGGAA
rnacentral:tRNA from 1 species